rnacentral:rRNA from 1 species
UACAGAGGUCUCAAGCGUUGUUCGGAUUCAUUGGGCGUAAAGGGUGCGUAGGCGGCGCGGUAAGUCGGGUGUGAAAUCUCGGAGCUUAACUCCGAAACUGCAUUCGAUACUGCCGUGCUUGAGGACUGGAGAGGAGACUGGAAUUACGGUGUAGCGGUGAAAUGCGUAGAUAUCGUAAGGAAGACCAGUGGCGAAAGGCGGGUCUCUGGACAGUUCCUGACGCUGAGGCACGAAGGUCAGGGAGCAAACGGG